GGAAGCAUGGUUUAGUGGUUAGGGCACUGAAUUAAGAGACCUAGGUUCAAUUCCUAGCCCUGCCA
rnacentral:tRNA from 1 species